AUUGAACGCUGGCGGCAGGCCUAACACAUGCAAGUCGAACGAGUGGCGGACGGGUGAGUAAUGUCUGGGAAACUGCCUGAUGGAGGGGGAUAACUAAUGGAAACGGUAGCUAAUACCGCAUACCAUCGGAUGUGCCCAGAUGGGAUUAGCUAGUAGGGGGGGUAACGGUUCACCUCGGCGACGAUCCCUAGCUGUUCUGAAAGGAUGACCAGCCACCCUGGAACUGAGACAAGGUCCAGACUCCUACGGUAGGCAGCAGUGGGGAAUAGUGGACAAUGGGCGCAAGCCGGAUGCAGCCAUGCCGCGUGUAUGAAGAAGGCCUUCGGGUUGUAAAGUACUUGCAGCGGGGAGGCGUUACCCGCAGAAGAAGCACCGGCUAACUCCGUGCCAGCCGCCGCGGUAAUAC
rnacentral:rRNA from 1 species